rnacentral:rRNA from 1 species
GACGAACGCUGGCGGCGUGCUUAACACAUGCAAGUCGAACGGGAUUUAGUAAACAGAAGCCUCGGUGGAAGAUUACUAAUGAGAGUGGCGAACGGGUGAGUAACGCGUGAGCAACCUGCCUAUGACAGUGGGAUAGCCUCGGGAAACCGGGAUUAAUACCACAUAAAAUCGUAGAAACACAUGUUUUAACGGUCAAAGAUUUAUCGGUCAUAGAUGGGCUCGCGUCUGAUUAGCUAGUUGGUGAGAUAACAGCCCACCAAGGCGACGAUCAGUAGCCGGUCUGAGAGGAUGAACGGCCACAUUGGAACUGAGACACGGUCCAAACUCCUACGGGAGGCAGCAGUGGGGAAUAUUGCACAAUGGGGGAAACCCUGAUGCAGCGACGCCGCGUGAACGAAGAAGGUAUUCGUAUCGUAAAGUUCUGUCCUAUGGGAAGAUAAUGACAGUACC